GAUGAAGAACGCAGCGAAAUGCGAUACUUGGUGUGAAUUGCAGAAUCCCGUGAACCAUCGAGUCUUUGAACGCAAGUUGCGCCCGAAGCCAUUAGGCCGAGGGCACGCCUGCCUGGGCGUCACACGUCGUUGCCCCCCCCAUCUACUCCUUCGGGAUUGCGGGGGGCGGAUGAUGGCCUCCCGUGUGCCUCGCCGCGCGGUUGGCAUAAAUACCAAGUCCUCGGCGACGCACGCCACGACAAUCGGUGGUUGCGAAACCUCGGUUGCCCGUCGUGUGCGGUCGUCGCGCAUCGAGGGCUCGAAAAAAUUGCCGGGUUCCGGCUCGGCUUUCAACGCGACCCCAGGUCAGGCGGGGUUACCCGCUGAAUUUAAGCAUAUAAUAAGCGGAGGA
rnacentral:misc_RNA from 1 species